rnacentral:rRNA from 1 species
AGCAGCCGCGGUAAUUCCAGCUCCAAUAGCGUAUAUUAAAGUUGUUGCAGUUAAAAAGCUCGUAGUUGAAUUUCGGGGUUAGUAGGUUGGUCAUGCCUCUGGUAUGUACUGGUCUCACUGAUUCCUCCUUCCUGAUGAAUCUUAAUGCCAUUAAUUUGGUGUUUUGGGGAAUUUGGACUGUUACUUUGAAAAAAUUAGAGUGUUUAAAGCAAGCUAACGCCUGAAUACAUUAGCAUGGAAUAAUGAAAUAGGACGUUCGAUCCUAUUUUGUUGGUUUCUAGGAUUGACGUAAUGAUUAAUAGGGAUAGUUGGGGGCAUUAGUAUUCAAUUGUCAGAGGUGAAAUUCUUGGAUUUAUUGAAGACUAACUACUGCGAAAGCAUUUGCCAAGGAUGUUUUCAUUAAUCAAGAACGAAAGUUAGGGGAUCGAAGACGAUCAGAUACCGUCGUAGUCUUAACCAUAAACUAUGCCGACUAGGGAUCGGAUGAUGUUAAUUUUUUAAUGACUCA